GGAGUCUAGCGUGUGCGCGAGUCACUGGGCAAUUGUUUAAACCCAAAGGCGAAAUGAAAGUGAAGACGUUGCUCCUUCGCGGGAGCUCGUCUAGGGAGGAUGGGCGAGACUUGCUCUCGCCUCGCACUCCCGGGGCGUCCGUUUCUCAUUGCGAGAAGGGGCGCACCUAGAGCGUACACGCUGGGACCCGAAAGAUGGUGAACUAUGCCUGGUCAGGACGAAGUCAGGGGAAACCCUGAUGGAGGUCCGUAGCGAUUCUGACGUGCAAAUCGAUCGUCGGAACUGGGUAUAGGGGCGAAAGACUAAUCGAACCAUCUAGUAGCUGGUUCCCUCCGAAGUUUCCCUCAGGAUAGCUGGCGCUCGGAGGUGUGAGUUUCAUCCGGUAAAGCGAAUGAUUAGAGGCAUUGGGGACGAAACGUCCUCAACCUAUUCUCAAACUUUAAAUGGGUGAGAUCUCCGGCUUUAUUCUUAAACUUGAAGCCGCGAGAAUCUAAACUUUAUAUGAAUCUAGAGUGCCAAGUGGGCCAUUUUUGGUAAGCAGAACUGGCGUUGUGGGAUGAACCAAACGCAGAGUUAAAGCGCCUAAAUAGACGCUUAUGAGAUACCAUGAAAGGCGUUGGUAACUUAAGACAGCAGGACGGUGGCCAUGGAA
rnacentral:rRNA from 1 species